GACGGGCUUACCUUUGAUCCAGUGCCCUUUGUGCCGUAGGGCACGGGUAGUUGAGCGGCGCACACAGCAAGAUUCGGUGAACUACGGUCGGAUAUACAUAAAAUGUCCAAGGAAUGAUAGAUGGGUGAGUUUGAUUUCGGUUUUUUAGUUUCGGCAUUUGCAUUUGAUGUUAGACUCAUUUUCUUGACUUGAUGUUCAGAUUGCAGAUAAAUGUGAGUACUACAGGUGGCAAAGGUUUUAUUUCAAAGAUUUGGUUGAUGCCAAGGUGAUUGAAGUGCUUAAUUGGGAAGUUGAUGACCAAGUUGAUGACCAAGAAGUUGAGUCCAUGGGGCGUGCAGAGAGGGCAGUUGCAAGUUUGAAAUUUGAGAAGGAAGCCAUGG
rnacentral:lncRNA from 1 species